ACAUCGAGGCUAAAGGAAGAAGAGAGAGAGUACAGCCUUAGUUCAGAUCACAUAUGACUAUCUUUUGCGAGUCUGAUCGAUACUCUGAUGAAGGCUGUACCCUCUCUCUUCUUCUCUUAGCUUCUUGAUGC
rfam:Oryza glaberrima chromosome 2 Oglab02_0164_7, whole genome shotgun sequence.